rnacentral:lncRNA from 1 species
UAUUGACUCAAAUGCUGUACAGCAAAGGCCAAGUCAGGUCUAGUGUGGGUAAGAAAAUUGAGUUUCCCCACUAAGAACCUAUAGGAUUCAGGAGAGGGAAGAGGAUCCCUCAUAUCCAGUUUGAGUUUAAUAGAGAGGCCAAGAGGUCAUGUAACAGGAGAAACAUCCUCACAGUGAUAGGUUUUGAGCAGGUCAGUGAUAAACUUUUUCUGGUGUAGAAGAAGCCCAUUAGAGUGAGAACUGACCUCAAUUCCAAGAAAAUAGUUGAGCACCCCCAAGUCCUUGAUUUUAAACUCAUGAUCCAGAAAGCCUUUCAAAGCAGUGAUCUCCUCCAAAUCAUUACCAGUGAGAAUAAUAUCAUCAACAUAAACAGCCAACAAGACAAUAGAAGAGCCAGAUUUCUUAAGGAAAAUAGAAUAGUCAUUGAGAGAAGAAGAAAAUCCCUUAGAACAUAAGGCCUGGGACAGCUUGGCAUACCACUGCCUAGAAGAGAAAAGAGAAUAGUCAUUGAGACAAGAAGAAAAGCCCUUAGGACAUAAGGCCUGGGACAGCUUGGCAUACCACUGCCUAGAAGCUUGCCUUAAACCAUACAAAGAUUUCUGAAGUAGACAAAUCAAAGGAGAAGAAAAGGUAGCACAGGUGACUGCCAGUCCAGGAGGCAAUUUCAUAUUAACUUCUUCAUCUAAGUCACCAUGUAAGAAGGCAUUAUUCACAUCAAGUUGAAAAAGGGACCAAUUCUGUUUAACAGCCACAUCAAUGAGGGAUUUA